rnacentral:rRNA from 1 species
UACGUAGGGCGCGAGCGUUGUCCGGAUUUAUUGGGCGUAAAGAGCGUGUAGGCGGCUUGACAGGUCUGCUGUGAAAACUCGAGGCUCAACCUCGAGAUGUCGGCGGAAACCGUCUGGCUAGAGUCCGGAAGAGGAGAGUGGAAUUCCUGGUGUAGCGGUGAAAUGCGCAGAUAUCAGGAAGAACACCUAUGGCGAAGGCAGCUCUCUGGGACGGUACUGACGCUGAGACGCGAAAGCGUGGGGAGCGAACAGG